GGAAGGGGUGUAUUUAUUAGAUAAAAAACCAAUGCCCUUCGGGGCUCCUUGGUGAUUCAUAAUAACUUAACGAAUCGCAUGGCCUUGCGCCGGCGAUGGUUCAUUCAAAUUUCUGCCCUAUCAACUUUCGAUGGUAGGAUAGUGGCCUACCAUGGUCUCAACGGGUAACGGGGAAUUAGGGUUCUAUUCCGGAGAGGGAGCCUGAGAAACGGCUACCACAUCCAAGGAAGGCAGCAGGCGCGCAAAUUACCCAAUCCCGAUACGGGGAGGUAGUGACAAUAAAUACUGAUACGGGGCUCUUUUGGGUCUCGUAAUUGGAAUGAGUACAAUCUAAAUCCCUUAACGAGGAACAAUUGGAGGGCAAGUCUGGUGCCAGCAGCCGCGGUAAUUCCAGCUCCAAUAGCGUAUAUUAAAGUUGUUGCCGUUAAAAAGCUCGUAGUUGAACCUUGGACCUGGCUGAUCUGUCCUCCUAAUCGAGCGCACGGAUUCGGUCGGGUCUUUCCUUCUGGCUAGCCCGAUGCCCUUCAUUGGGUGUCGUGGGGAACCAGGACUUUUAC
rnacentral:rRNA from 1 species